GCCCUAGGUGCCUAGAGUGGUCAGGACUUGCAGUGUGUCCAGAGGAGACCAGCAGUCCCCAUGGUGCUGCUGACCAGGGAUGCGCUGUUCUCUGUGGCUGUGGCCGUGGCCGUCUUCCUUCCCCUGGUGAACCUGAUGCACCGUCGCCAGCGCUGGGCUGCUCGCUACCCACCAGGCCCCGUGCCCGUGCCUGGGCUGGGCAAUCUGCUGCAGCUGGACUUCCACAACCUGCCGUACUCCUUCUACAAGGUGAGAGAGCUGGAGUGGAAGGGCACAGAGCCAGGGUGACGUCAUAGCAGCAGGCGAUGGGCAAAGCCACAGACUGGACGGGGUCCUGGGCCUGUAAGAGGAAGCAGGUGGAGAGGGCUAGCGGAGGGCACUGCAGAGCCUGGGGACCCCUAGGACUUUGCAAGGAUAAAGUGUGGGAAGACACAGGCCAGGAGGUGGGGCGGCACUUGGCAGUGUGUUUUGGAUCCAGUUGGCCAGGGCAGAAGUCCU
rnacentral:lncRNA from 1 species